GGGGCGCGGCACCGAGGAAAUAUACCGUAUAAUGUUAUACAUACAAGAUGCACAAUUGCGGGUGAAAAAAACUUAACGCGAUGUAUUCAGUCCGAAACGGUUUUCGCCGGCCGUCCGUGUUCUAGACGCACGCUCGUGAUAAUACUAAGCUAACAAUGCUGUGCGCGAGCAGGUCUUAAAAAUCAAAUGGAGAAGAAGACAAUCUUAUGACGUGCGUGUGCGACGGUUACGACGGUCAACAACUUGACGACGGGCACAUUCGGAAAUGAAGUUUCCGGUCCUAGACACACGGUGCGAUACUACCAAAUAAAUCCGGUUCAGCUUAAAAGCUCCCUCCUGCAGUCAGUCACCACAGUGAUAGGGGAAUGCGGCAGGAAGCUACUUCCGGUAUGCGCCGGCUCGUUACCAGAACACACAUACACACGUACACACAUACAUACGAUCACGCAUACACACAUACCACAAACGCAAACUAAAUACGCAUUAAAUGUUACAAUACAAGGGCCAUUGAAAGUGAUGCUAAUGGAAAGUCAAACUGUAUCGAUUUUAGACGGACACGACAAUAGAACGCAAUCAUCCGCUAUAAUUGUGUCCGCAUUAUUUUUCCCCUUUCCAAGCGUGAACGGUUUUUUUUCACCCCUGGAUGUCAUUAUGAAAUGGGAUAAUAUUGGACAUUCGACGACAGAACGAACGUUGAGGAGGUAAAAAAAAAAACUAACCGUUUUUUUCCAAUUAUCUGACCUUUUUU